UCCUAUUAGCUAGUUGGUGUGGUAAAGGCAUACCAAGGCGAUGAUAGGUAGGCGUCCUUAACGGGUGGUCGCCCACACUGGGAUUGAGAUACGGCCCAGACUCCUACGGGAGGCAGCAGUCGAGAAUAGUCUACAAUGGACGAAAGUCUGAUAGUGCGACGCCGCGUGGAUGAAGAAGCAUUUCGGUGUGUAAAAUCCUUUUCUUUGUGAGCAAUGCCAUCAAGAUUAAUAGUUUUGGUGGAGGGAUAUUAGCAGAGGAAUAAGCUCCGGCUAACUCCGUGCCAGCAGCCGCGGUAACACGGGGGGAGCAAGCGUUGUCCGGAAUUACUAGGCGUAAAGGGUAAGUAGGCGGAAUUGUAAGUCAGAUGUUAAAGGCGUCAGCUCAACUGGCGUAUGGCAUUUGAUACUGUAAUUCUAGAGUAAGGUGGGGGAAGACAGAAUUCCUGGUGUAGCGGUGGAAUGCGCAGAUAUCAGGAGGAAUACCAGAGGCGAAGGCGGUCUUCUAUACCAUUACUGACGCUCAAUUACGAAGGUGUGGUAUCGAACAGGAUUAGAUACCCUGGUAGUCCACACAGUAAACGAUAUACACUAGGUGUUGGGGGAGAUGAUCUUUCAGUGCCGCAGCUAACGCGUUAAGUGUAUCGCCUGGGGAGUACGAUCGCAAGGUUAAAACUCAAAGGAAUUGACGGGGCCCCGCACAAGCGGUGGAGCAUGUUGUUUAAUUCGAUGCAACGCGAAGAACCUUACCUGGGCUUGACAUCCCGGGAAUCCUUGAGAGAUCGAGGAGUGCCCCUUCGGGGGAACCCGGUGACAGGUGCUGCAUGGCUGUCGUCAGCUCGUGUCGUGAGAUGUUGGGUUAAGUCCCGCAACGAGCGCAACCCCUAUCUCUAGUUGCCAGCGAUUCGGUCGGGGACUCUAGAGAGACUGCCAGUGUAAUAAACUGGAGGAAGGUGGGGACGACGUCAAGUCAUCAUGGUCCUUAUGUCCAGGGCUACAAACGUGCUACAAUGGUCGGUACAGAGGGUUGCGAAGCCGUGAGGUGGAGCUAAUCUCAGAAAGCCGGUCUCAGUUCGGAUUGGAGUCUGCAACUCGACUCCAUGAAGUUGGAAUCGCUAGUAAUCGCGUAUCAGCAUAACGCGGUGAAUACGUUCCCGGGGCUUGUACACACCGCCCGUCAAGUCAGCCGAGUUGAUUGCACCCGAAGGAGGUGAGCUAACCGUAAGGGAGCAGCUUUCGAAGGUGUGAUUGAUAAGGGGGACUAAGUCGUAACAAGGUA
rnacentral:rRNA from 1 species